GACGUAGGGUGCAAGCGUUGUCCGGAUUUAUUGGGCGUAAAGAGCUCGUAGGCGGCUUGUUGCGUCGACUGUGAAAACCCGCGGCUUAACCGCGGGCUUGCAGUUGAUACGGGCAGGCUAGAGUUCGGUAGGGGAGACUGGAAUUCCUGGUGUAGCGGUGAAAUGCGUAGAUAUCAGGAGGAACACCGGUGGCGAAGGCGGCCCUCUGGACGGUGACUGACGCUGAGAAGCGAAAGCAUGGGGAGCGAACAGG
rnacentral:rRNA from 1 species